GCCCCAGUGGGAUGAGGGCCUUCAAGCGCUCCAGACACAGCCGCAGAUGAGCCCGUCUGCAGACAAAAUGUGGGAGAGGUGCCGUAAAGGAAGGAAAGGUGUAAUGGCAUUUCCUGGACCUCUCUUAGCCCAUGCGUUCCAUCAUCUCGACAGAACCUUAUUGGAUGACUGGGAGAAGGCCUGGGGUGACAUCCAUCCUGCUAAUGGCCCGGAGUUGAGAGAUAAAGAGAGAUAAUUAUGGCUAUAACCCAAUCAGUGCUCCAUUAACAGAAGCUGCCCUUUCAGCCCGCCUGAAGGGCUGGGUGGAGGGCGAAUAGGAGUCUGGGGGUUCAGUGUAGUGACCCACACUGAGGAGAUGAAAACAGGUGGGGUUCAAAGCGACAACUACUUUCUGUUGCUCUAAGACUGGUGAAGACGACUGCAGCCCAGAAUACCCAUCUGUCAGUCUGCGUGAAUUGGGGGGGGUUCAGGUAUAAAUGGAUGCCGCCGAUAAGAACAAGAGUGCAAACCAUUAGAGCAGCGCAAGUAUGUAUGAGGGUGCGCUUAAACGCCACCCAAGCAAGUAGAGCGCUCUUCGAAUGAAAGAGGAGGUGCCAUGAUGCAAUCUGGUGGUGCUCAAAGUGUGGAGGUCACAAGACACGCACGCACGCACCCAAAGUAUGCUUCUCGUCUGGCUGUUUGCGUGAUGUCUAUCAGUCUGGCUCGGGCCUUUUGUCAACACCUUAUCUUCUACCGAUGGGGCCUCGCAAAGUCUGCGUCUGCCUCACACGGACACCCGCAGUCAUGCUUCCAACCAUCACGUUAUCAGCUGACAGUUCAUCUCUCUUUCCGAGACACCUGGCACCACCUGGGAGGUGCACCAUGUCGGACAGCUCUCUAAUGCACAGCCAGUCUAAAUAAAUAACAAAUAUACAUAAUAAUAAAUAAAUAACGCUUGUUGAAAGGA